rnacentral:rRNA from 1 species
CGUGAGUUAUGAAGGUCUUCUGAUCGUAAAACUCUGUUAUUAGUGAAGUACAUAUGUGUAAGUAACUGUGCACAUCUUGACGGUACAUAAUCAGAAAGCCACGGCUAACUACGUGCCAGAAGCCGCGGUAAUACGUAGGUGGCAAGCGUUCUCAGGAAUUAUUGGGCUUAAAGCGCGCGUAGGCGGUUUUUUAAGUCUGAUGAGAAAGCCCAAGGCUCAACCGUGGAGGGUCAUUGGAC